CUGCUCACUCUUUGGGUCUGUGCCAUCUUUAAAAGCUGUAACACUCACUGCGAAGGUCCAUGGCUCCAUUCUUGAAAUCAGCAAAACCACAAACCCACUGGCAGGAACCAACUCUGGACACAUCUUGGGAGCUCCUCUGGGAUAUUGUCAUGUGAUGGGAAACACUCAGGCAUCAACAGGCUCACCCUUGAAAUGCAUCCUAAGCCAUUGGGACCAAUUUGACCUGCAAAUCCUGAAAAAUAGAAUCUACAAAAUACCUCCCAUGGUAACAAGAAAACAACACACAAUCAAAACAAAUGAAGUGCUUCCCAAACACCAUCUUCUUCAAGGGAGGAGACCAGCACGGAGUCACUACAAGUUGUUUCUUCUACCAACGGUACCACAAAUGGCCCCAAAGGCCCAAAUGGGAUUCAAAAUGGAGUCAGUGCUGUUACAAUAAGAUCUUCUACUCAAUAAAGAAGCAAAAGUACUCACAGCAGAGUGGGAUUGCUGUGAGAAGGAGCCAUGUAAGUAAUUUUCUCAGGAGAUAAGCAUCAAGCAAAGCCCAAGUGAGGGACAUACUACAAAAUACCUGACCACUACUGUAA
rnacentral:lncRNA from 1 species